rnacentral:lncRNA from 1 species
UUUGAACCUGCUGAUUAUGCAACGGUUAGAAUUUAGAAAGCAAGAAAAUUUUCAUUAAUUACAGUUUAUAGAAUUUUCAGAAACUCACAUAUGUCUGUGAAACAGGGCUGGGUGGACACUGGAUCGUCUUCAAAUGAGGGUGGAACCUGGCCAUAUACCAUUUCACAACUCAUAUCUUCAAAAUCUGAGGACAAACAAUAUGCAGAGUUUAGGGUUUGUUUGUAAACGAAUAGACGAUUAUUUACAUGUAAUUUGUAUGCAUUACUGUAAAUUGAUUAGUACUGCAGUAUCAAUGUUAAAUUACGGCGCAAGCAAAG